rnacentral:rRNA from 1 species
UACGAAGGGUGCAAGCGUUACUCGGAAUUACUGGGCGUAAAGCGUGCGUAGGUGGUUUUUUAAGUCCGUUGUGAAAGCCCUGGGCUCAACCUGGGAAUGGCAGUGGAUACUGGAAAGCUAGAGUGCGGUAGAGGGUAGUGGAAUUCCCGGUGUAGCAGUGAAAUGCGUAGAGAUCGGGAGGAACACCAGUGGCGAAGGCGGCUACCUGGACCAGCACUGACACUCAUACACGAAAGCGUGGGGAUCAAACAGG